UACAGAGGUCUCAAGCGUUGUUCGGAUUCAUUGGGCGUAAAGGGCUCGUAGGCGGCCAACUAAGUCAUACGUGAAAUCCCUCAGCUUAACCGAGGAACUGCGUCCGAUACUGAAAGGCUUGAAUCCGGGAGAGGGAUGUGGAAUUCCAGGUGUAGCGGUGAAAUGCGCAGAUAUCAGGAGGAACACCAAUGGCGAAGGCAGCUCGCUGGAACGGUACUGACGCUGAGGCGCGAAAGCGUGGGGAGCGAACAGG
rnacentral:rRNA from 1 species